rfam:Photorhabdus luminescens subsp. laumondii TTO1 complete genome
UUAUCAGCCUGAAAACCACAAUGAUUACCACCACCGGGACCACAGGUUGCGGGGCGGGCUGACGCAUAUAUAAAACAGAGAAAAAAGCCCGCAUCCAAAUCAGAUGCGGGCUUUUUUUUG